rnacentral:lncRNA from 12 species
GUCUGACUGAAGGAAGGGGCCCAGGUGCUAGAAUCUUGAGCAGGUGACCUCACUUCCUUAGUGACAAGCCCACAACUAACUUAGAACUCUGGUAACCAGGAACCUACAAUCUAGACCUUCCCACUUUCUAGCUCACUUAACUGCAGAUGGUCAAGUGUACAAGAUGUUCUGUUGCUAUACUCCUACUUUCUGGCACUCUGGGCUCAGGAGAGUCCAGAAUGAGAGACUUUCACGUCGCUGUCUAUGUCAGCUUAGCCUUUACUCUGAAGCUUCUGGUCAUGUGGCAGGAGACACCAACAGAGGGGACAGAAGAGAGGACCAUACCCUUCCUGGGCAGAAACCAGCUGCCAGGUGUUGGAAGCCUGACAUAUCUUUUGUGUUCAGACCCAAGGUCAUAACAGGCAAGAUGAGAAGGGCCCUGUAUUUGCAGAGCUGCACCCAGGAGAUCUUGGAAGAGAUGGUCUGUGCCGUCAACUACUACAACUCCCUAGACAAUUUUAUCAGGUGCACCAGGCAUACAAGGAUCAGGGCUGUGAGAAUGAUAUCCUGUGUAGAAUCCAGCUCCACUGUCACUGAAGAACUUCUCCAAGACCUUACAAAUCAUCACACUAAAGAAGGGGAAUGAGAUCAACCACCAGAAGAAGAAUAAGAAAUUGGCCUUUCAGGACCUGCUGUGGAGGCUUCUGGAGGCAUUGGUCGGGUCCACGCCAACAUCAGGAGGUACUCUUCAAAACCACAAG